GCCAGAAUUGCAGGAAUGCAACACGUGUUGCAGAGGACUCUUUCACUGCCCUCUGUGCCCCACUUUCAGCCCUACUGUCAGGGCAAAGAUUGAGGAGCAUCUAAGUGUGCAUAUAAAAAAUGCUUUGCCUUUCAAAGAUAAAAUGAUAUGCCGGUGCAGGCUGCCUUGUAGGACAACAGGACACUUUCACCGCCCUGUCUGUAAGAUUACAAUCAUACAGCGUGGGGAUAUGGCAAGGCAUUUAUUGUCUUGUCAGCAUUCUUCAAUGCCAAGUCAGCCACCAUUAUCAGGACUGCUCCCCGCUGAACUCUCCGAGGAGACCCGUAUUCCUCCGGCAGUACUCUUCGAGGAGCCCCGUCUCCCCCCCAAGCUCUGGCAAGCUAUUUGCACACUGGAGAGAGGAAGCCAAACUGUGCUUGAAGCACAACACGUGCC
ensembl:lncRNA